GGGGCUGUUGGGAAAGUUGAAAAAGAAAAAGAUAAGCAUUGAGCUAAUGUGUUGAGCAAAACAUAAAAAAAAUGAAAAAGAUAGAAAAGAAAAAAAAAUAAAAUGAGAAGAAAAGCUCAAUGCAAAGAAAAGGAAAGUUGGGAUUAAAUUAUAAAUGUAAAUAACUUUCUUAACUCAAGGAUUUUGUGAUCCAGAAAAACCAAUGUUCUUCUUAACCCAACCACGUUACAAGCCAUAAAAAGUCCUUGUGAUGAUAACUUGCUUGUGAGUAUGAUUGAUUGUGGUUAAAUGAAAGGCAAAGUUAAUUUGUGUGACAUUGUAAUAGUAGAGAGAAUGAGUCACCUCAAUAUACACUUGUGUGCUUGAGUCAAACACUUUCCUUGGUG
rnacentral:lncRNA from 1 species